ACACGCUGAGUAUAGUUAUAGUGUUCAUCCAUGGGAGAUUGAAAUGUUUUACUGAAGUAUGUUUGUGUGUUAUUAGCUCACACUGCAAAGACGACGUAUUCGUGCAUCUUCAACUUGGAACUGAACUGAAGACGUGAUGCGUUCAUGUACAGUGACAUCUGACGUGAAAUUGGGCCAACGUCCGCCCCGCUGCAAAUGUCCUCAGCCCCGAAAUUCCCGCUUUGACUCCUUUUUUUUUAUCUCGCCGUCUGUCUGGCCUUCAUCUCCACACGCCUCGCACAACACGUGCAAAGGACGAGGCAAGAAGGGAAGCAGUCGAGGGGGCAACAGAGGAGAAAGUGCGGCAUUGGCCGUUUGGAAAUAGAGGGCCACUUUAUCGCGCCUGAAGGGGGGUCUAUG